GCGGGAGUAGCUCAGUGGUAGAGCGCUAGCCUUCCAAGCUGGAUGUCGCGGGUUCGAAUCCCGUUUCCCGCU
rnacentral:tRNA from 1 species